GGAAUUAUUAGGGCGUAAAGCGUCCGCAGGCGGUCUGUCAAGUCUGCUGUUAAAGCGUGGAGCUUAACUCCAUUUCGGCAGUGGAAACUGACAGACUAGAGUGUGGUAGGGGCAGAGGGAAUUCCCGGUGUAGCGGUGAAAUGCGUAGAUAUCGGGAAGAACACCAGUGGCGAAGGCGCUCUGCUGGGCCAUAACUGACGCUCAUGGACGAAAGCCAGGGGAGCGAAAGGGAUUAGAUACCCCUGUAGUCCUGGCCGUAAACGAUGAACACUAGGUGUCGGGGGAAUCGACCCCCUCGGUGUCGUAGCCAACGCGUUAAGUGUUCCGCCUGGGGAGUACGCACGCAAGUGUGAAACUCAAAGGAAUUGACGGGGGCCCGCACAAGCGGUGGAGUAUGUGGUUUAAUUCGAUGCAACGCGAAGAACCUUACCAGGGUUUGACAUCCUGCGAAUCUCUUGGAAACGAGAGAGUGCCUUCGGGAACACAGUGACAGGUGGUGCAUGGCUGUCGUCAGCUCGUGUCGUGAGAUGUUGGGUUAAGUCCCGCAACGAGCGCAACCCACGUCGUUAGUUGCCAGCAUUUAGUUGGGCACUCUAGCGAGACCGCCGGUGAUAAACCGGAGGAAGGUGUGGAUGACGUCAAGUCAUCAUGCCCCUUACAUCCUGGGCUACACACGUACUACAAUGCUACGGACAAAGGGCAGCAAACUCGCGAGAGCUAGCAAAUCCCAUAAACCGUGGCUCAGUUCAGAUCGUAGGCUGCAACUCGCCUACGUGAAGGAGGAAUCGCUAGUAAUCGCAGGUCAGCAUACUGCGGUGAAUACGUUCCCGGGCCU
rnacentral:rRNA from 1 species